CCUCCACCGCAGUCCCCACCCCCACCCUCCACUGCAGCACCACCACUGUGGCUUGAGCCAGGCACCCUGGGCUUCUGAGUGCCCACUCCUCGGUGGCAGUGGCACUGGCAUAAGGCUGGCUCUCAGUGCUGCUGGCUAUAGGGUCCACUGCCACGUUGGGUGCCAGAGAUAGGUUCCAGCUCUACAGGGUUCUGUGAGCCGCUCCUGGCUAAUGUGGAGAUGAGAAAUUGUAGAAAUAAAAGACACAAGACACAGAGAUGGAGAAAAGAGAGUUUAGGCCCAGGGGUCCACUGCUAACCAGAUCGCAGAGACCUGCGGCCCCGAGUGCCGGGAGGCUCUCACUUUUAUUGAGCUGCAAAUCUGGGGACAGGGUCAAGUACAUCACCUGUCAUUCAGGUAGGGGCUCAGGAAUUUCUGGCACCCGAAGUGAGGUAAGGAGCAUAAUGCAUCAGCACCUUUUCCAUACUUAUCAAGAAAGAAC